UACGUAGGGGGCAAGCGUUGUCCGGAAUCAUUGGGCGUAAAGAGCGUGUAGGCGGUCCGGUAAGUCGGCUGUGAAAGUCCAGGGCUCAACCCUGGGAUGCCGGUCGAUACUGCCGGACUAGAGUUCGGAAGAGGCGAGUGGAAUUCCCGGUGUAGCGGUGAAAUGCGCAGAUAUCGUAAGGAAGACCAGUGGCGAAGGCGGGUCUCUGGACAGUUCCUGACGCUGAGGCACGAAGGGUCAGGGGAGCAAACGGGG
rnacentral:rRNA from 1 species